GAUGGCGGACCUGCCGGCACCAUGGAUGCAGCUGCCCUGCUGCGCGCGUGACGUCGGGGCACAGAGGAAGCGGCCAUUUCUACGCUCAGCGCUAAGAAUGCUUUGUAGCCGGACAGUA
rfam:Camelus ferus unplaced genomic scaffold scaffold128, whole genome shotgun sequence.